CAGUCGCCGCGGUAAUACAGAGGGUGCGAGCGUUAAUCGGAUUUACUGGGCGUAAAGCGUGCGUAGGCGGCUUCUCAAGUCGGAUGUGAAAUCCCUGAGCUUAACUUAGGAAUUGCAUUCGAUACUGGGAAGCUAGAGUAUGGGAGAGGAUGGUAGAAUUCCAGGUGUAGCGGUGAAAUGCGUAGAGAUCUGGAGGAAUACCGAUGGCGAAGGCAGCCAUCUGGCCUAAUACUGACGCUGAGGUACGAAAGCAUGGGGAGCAAACAGGAUUAGAUACCCCCGUAGUCCCUGUCUCUUAUAC
rnacentral:rRNA from 1 species